GUUGGUGAUGCAUGGCCAUUCUUAGUUGGUGGUGCAAUUUGUCUGGUUAAUUCUGAUAACCAACAAGAUUCUGGCAUGUUAACUAGUUAUAUGACCCUCCCCCCCAAGCUUUCAGACCCCAACUUUGUAGAGGGACAAGUGGCAUUCAGCCACCUGAGAUUGAGCACUAAAAGAUUUGUGAUGCCCU
rnacentral:ncRNA from 1 species